GGUCACUGGGUGGCCUCUAGGAUUCCUAAGUCUGCAGUGCAUGACUGAAUGUGAGCAGCACCUAGGCUGAGUCUGCCCCUCCCUCUGGUCUCCUUCCAUCCCCUCAAGGGACUGAUGGAAAACUGAGUGGGUCCUGCCUCUUCCCCUGCCUGGGGGCACUUCUGCAGCAUCAUUAUCAGUGGUGACCACCAAAACUAUCCAGUUCCAGCAUGGUCAAGAAGCUGAAUGUUCUCCUGCAGCCCCCGGGGUACCACGCACGGGGCUGGGCACACUGCAGGCUCCCAACAUAUGGAGAAGGCAGGGAAGCCAUCCUCUCCCAGGAAGGACAGAGUGUCCCUCCGUCCAGCCACUCUGCCUGCCUCCUCCAGCAGGACAUCAUAGAAAUCACAGCAUCUUGGGACAGACAGACAAAGGCCUGAUCUCUACGGCUGGGUUGUGGAGAGGACAGUGAGAAGAGACUACAAGGAGUAAAACAGUAGCAGAGACAAGGAGGGGGCUCCCCUGCAACCCCUGAGCUCUGGCCCACACCUCCUUGUCUCCCACCCGUUCCCUCCAGGGCAUCUCAGAUCCAUUCAACUGUGUAGGUUGAAUGGCAGCCCUCAAAAUAUACAUCCUCGCACUAAUCCCCAGCCCCUAUGAAUGUGACCUAAAAGGGUCUUUGCAGAUGUGAUUAAAUUAAAGAACUUGAGAUGAGAUCAUCCUGGAUUACCCGGGUGGGCCUUAAAUCCAAUGACAAGUAUCCUUAUGAAGUGACAGGAAAGAGAGAGACAGAGGAGAGGUGAGGGGAGACGGAGGCCAGGAUGGGAGUGACACUGCCACAGCUGAGGGUCAUCUGGGCCAACAGGAGCUGGAAGAGGCAAAGAGGGACUCUCCUCUAGAGUAUUUGGAGGGAGUGUGGCCCUGAUACCUUGAUCCUGGUCUCCAGAACUGCGAAAAUAAAUGCCUGCUGUCUUA
rnacentral:lncRNA from 1 species